CCCUUAGAUGUUCUGGGCUGCACGCGCGCUACACUGAUGCGAUCAACAAGUUUUUCCUAUGUCGAUAGACACGGGUAAUCUUUUGAACUCGCAUCGUGAUGGGGAUAGAUUAUUGUAAUUAUUAAUCUUCAACGAGGAAUUCCUAGUAGGUGCAAAUCAUCAGUUUGCAUCGAUUACGUCCCUGCCCUUUGUACACACCGCCCGUCGCUGCUACCGAUUGGUUGAUCUGGUGAAUUAUUCGGACUGCCGGCUGAAGGGGUUUCCUCAUCUGCCAGCGGAAAGUCUUGUUAACCCUAUCAACUAGAAGAAGCAGAAGUCGUAACA
rnacentral:rRNA from 1 species